CAAUAACCCCUUUGGACACCCCUAGCCAUCCCAACCUGGGAGCAGAGCACCACAGAAAGGGCAAGAAGGACCCCACCACAGGGUAGGGAGUCUGUGAGGGGGCAUUCAUAGUAGUGGUGUGGAGGGACUGGAGGGACUGCCACAAGGAUCCAGAUACUAGCAGGAUGCCCACCAGACUUCCCUGAACAGAUGACCCCACCAAUGUGUCCUGGAGCUCUGAUUACCCAGAACCCUGCCCUACUAGGGAAAGAGAAAGACGGGCUGGGUGUAUGGUUGACCUGUCAAAGCCUAUGUUCAUAGGGAAAGAGUUAAAGAAGCCAGACCUUCCACCUUCUGCAUCUCAGAGUGACCUUGGGUCCAUAGUCUCAGAGGGAAAAAGAAUAGGAAAGCUAUCAAGGGAGGCGAUGGGAUAAAGAGUUCUGGUGGUAGGAAUUGUCUGAUGUUGUACCCCCCUUUUCCUAUG